AAAUCUUGUUUGGAGAGAAAAAAUGUAUAUUUUUUUUACCCAUUAAUGGGUGAAAAAAUAGUUGUAAACAUUUCUUCAUCUGUACUCCCGUUUUUUUACUGCUAGGGAAAUUAAAUCAACGAACUCACGUUAAAUGUAAGCAAAGAUAACUGGAAGGAACUUAUAGUCAUCUUUGAUGUCUUCGGGUGCGGAAUUCCAGAGAAAAAUAGAAUCGACCAUCUUAUAUUUCUGCCUGACGAUUACGUAAUAGAAGAAAUGGUAAAUCGUGGGGUAAUUAAUCCAUGAAGGACUUGGUCCAGAGAAGCCUGAAAACCACCUGAAAUGCGGACCACUAAUGGAAGAAAUCAUUCGGAGACUAACCGUUACCAUCCAAGAAGAUUUCAUUAAGCGUUAUUUGCAUGCG